rnacentral:lncRNA from 7 species
GAAGUUAUAGAAUAUUUACCCACUAUUGCCACAGAUUACAUUAAAAACGAUACAUUCUUUUAUUUUGUUUCCUUCCCUCCUGCUUGCGUACGACACCGGGUCUCCUUCGUUCUCAUCCAGCCGCCAUGGAUUCGCCGAGGGAAGCUGCUGCUGCACGGAAGAAUCAAGCACUGGGCUCUCAACCACUAACGAGUAGCCGCCUAGUGGCAGGUGGUGUUCGCCUGGACGCGCUUAGCGCGACCAUGGAGAGGCCCUUGCCAUCAAUGGCGACGCAGAGGUUGGUGGCUUGGGUGUUGUCCCAGUAGGACAGCUCGCGUCCGCAUAGAACCAGCUCGCACUAUCGUGAGGUUGAUUCGACGGCCAUGGCGUCC